rnacentral:rRNA from 1 species
UACGUAGGGUGCAAGCAUUAAUCGGAUUUAUUGGGCGUAAAGGGUGCGCAGGCGGGGAUGUAAGUCAGACGUUAAAGACCGGAACUCAAUUCCGGAAAAGCAUCUGAAACUGCAUCUCUUGAGGGUGGGCGGAGAAAGCGGAAUUCCACAUGUAGCGGUGAAAUGCGUAGAUAUGUGGAGGAACACCGGUGGCGAAGGCGGCUUUCUAGCUUACACCUGACGCUCAUGCACGAAAGCGUGGGGAUCAAACAGGAUUAGAAACCCCGGUAGUACCGUCGU